UGAACGCUAGCGACAGGCUAACACAUGCAAGUCGAGGGGUAACAGGGUAGCAAUACCGCUGACGACCGGCGCACGGGUGAGUAACGCGUAUGCAACCUGCCUAUAACUGGGGAAUAGCUCCCUGAAAGGGGAAUUAACACCGCAUAAUACUAUUGAUUCGCAUGGAUUGGUAGUUAAAUGUAGCGAUACAGGUUAUAGAUGGGCAUGCGUGACAUUAGCUAGUUGGUGAGGUAACGGCUCACCAAGGCUACGAUGUCUAGGGGUUCUGAGAGGAAGGUCCCCCACACUGGUACUGAGACACGGACCAGACUCCUACGGGAGGCAGCAGUGAGGAAUAUUGGUCAAUGGGCGCAAGCCUGAACCAGCCAUGUCGCGUGCAAGGAAGACUGCCCUAUGGGUUGUAAACUGCUUUUGUAUGGGAGCAAUAAGGGCUACGUGUAGUCCGAUGAGAGUACCAUACGAAUAAGCACCGGCUAACUCCGUGCCAGCAGCCGC
rnacentral:rRNA from 1 species